rnacentral:rRNA from 1 species
GACGAACGCUGGCGGCGUGCCUAAUACAUGCAAGUCGAGCGGACUAAAGGGAGCUUGCUCCCUGAAGUCAGCGGCGGACGGGUGAGUAACACGUGGGCAACCUGCCUGUAAGACUGGGAUAACUUCGGGAAACCGGAGCUAAUACCGGAUAGGUUCUUCCUUCACAUGAAGGGAGAUGGAAAGACGGUUUCGGCUGUCACUUACAGAUGGGCCCGCGGCGCAUUAGCUAGUUGGUGGGGUAACGGCCCACCAAGGCGACGAUGCGUAGCCGACCUGAGAGGGUGAUCGGCCACACUGGGACUGAGACACGGCCCAGACUCCUACGGGAGGCAGCAGUAGGGAAUCUUCCGCAAUGGACGAAAGUCUGACGGAGCAACGCCGCGUGAGUGAAGAAGGUUUUCGGAUCGUAAAACUCUGUUGUCAGGGAAGAACAAGUACCAGAGUAACUGCUGGUACCUUGACGGUACCUGACCAGAAAGCCACGGCUAACUACGUGCCAGCAGCCGCAGUAACAC